UACAGAGGGGGCUAGCGUUAUUCGGAAUUAUUGGGCGUAAAGCGCGUGUAGGCGGCUUUGCAAGUCGGGUGUGAAAUCCCUCAGCUUAACUGAGGAAGUGCGCCCGAAACUGCAGAGCUUGAGUGCCGGAGAGGGUGGCGGAAUUCCCCAAGUAGAGGUGAAAUUCGUAGAUAUGGGGAGGAACACCGGUGGCGAAGGCGGCCACCUGGCCGGUUACUGACGCUGAGACGCGAAAGCAUGGGGAGCAAACAGG
rnacentral:rRNA from 1 species